rnacentral:rRNA from 1 species
AAGCCCUUCGGGGUGAGUACAGUGGCGAACGGGUGAGUAACACGUGGGCAACCUGCCCCUCGCAGGGGGACAACCGGAGGAAACUCCGGCUAAUACCCCGUACGCUUGUCGGAUCGCAUGGUCUGGCAAGGAAAGGUAGCUUCGGCCAUCCGGCGAGGGAGGGGCCCGCGGUGCAUUAGCUAGUUGGUGGGGUAACGGCCCACCAAGGCGACGAUGCAUAGCUGGUCUGAGAGGAUGAUCAGCCACACUGGGACUGAGACACGGCCCAGACUCCUACGGGAGGCAGCAGCCAGGAAUCUUGGGCAAUGGGCGCAAGCCUGACCCAGCAACACCGUGUGGGCGACGAAGGUCUUAGGAUCGUAAAGCCCUGUUGAUAGGGACGAAGGGCGAAGGGUUAAUAGCCCCUAG